AAUAAGUGCAGCCGUGAAAAUCCGUGUUCAACGUUUGACCGUCCGUCUUAUUUGAAAAAUUUUAAAAAAAUUAGUCACACAUAAUGUAUUAUUCAUAUUUUAUCAUCUAAUAAUAACAAAAAAAAAUAGUAAUAAUUUUUUUUUAAAUAAAACGAAUGGUCAAACGUUGAAGGGAGGGAGUAGUAUAUUAGCUUCUAAA
rfam:Oryza sativa Japonica Group DNA, chromosome 10, cultivar: Nipponbare, complete sequence.